rnacentral:rRNA from 1 species
UACAGAGGGUGCGAGCGUUGUUCGGAAUUACUGGGCGUAAAGCGCGCGCAGGCGGCUCUUUAAGUCUGACGGUGAAAUGCCGGGGCUCAACCCCGUGCCCGCCGCGGAUACUGGAGAGCUGGAGACACGUAGAGGCAAGCGGAAUUCCGGGUGUAGCGGUGGAAUGCGUAGAGAUCCGGAAGAACACCCGUGGCUAAGGCGGCUCUCUAGUACGGUACUGACGCUGAGACGCGAAAGCGUGGGGAGCGAACAGG